rnacentral:rRNA from 1 species
AGUGAACGCUGGCGGUAGGCCUAACACAUGCAAGUCGAACGGCAGCACAGUAAGAGCUUGCUCUUACGGGUGGCGAGUGGCGGACGGGUGAGGAAUACAUCGGAAUCUACUUUUUCGUGGGGGAUAACGUAGGGAAACUUACGCUAAUACCGCAUACGACCUACGGGUGAAAGCAGGGGAUCUUCGGACCUUGCGCGAUUGAAUGAGCCGAUGUCGGAUUAGCUAGUUGGCGGGGUAAAGGCCCACCAAGGCGACGAUCCGUAGCUGGUCUGAGAGGAUGAUCAGCCACACUGGAACUGUGACACGGUCCAGACUCCUACGGGAGGCAGCAGUGGGGAAUAUUGGACAAUGGGCGCAAGCCUGAUCCAGCCAUACCGCGUGGAUGAAGAAGGCCUUCGGGUUGUAAAGCCCUUUUGUUGGGAAAGAAAAGCAGCAGGUUAAUACCCCGCUGUUCUGACGGUACCCAAAGAAUAAGCACCGGCUAACUUCGUG